AUUGAACGCUGGCGGCAGGCCUAACACAUGCAAGUCGAGCGGGGUUUUCGGACCUAGCGGCGGACGGGUGAGUAAUGCGUAGGAAGCUGCCCGAUAGAGGGGGAUACCAGUUGGAAACGACUGUUAAUACCGCAUAAUGUCUACGGACCAAAGUGUGGGACCUUCGGGCCACAUGCUAUCGGAUGCGCCUACGUGGGAUUAGCUAGUUGGUGAGGUAAUGGCUCACCAAGGCGACGAUCUCUAGCUGGUUUGAGAGGAUGAUAAGCCAACCUGGAACUGAGACACGGUCCAGACUCCUACGGGAGGCAGCAGUGGGGAAUAUUGGACAAUGGGCGCAAGCCUGAUCCAGCCAUGCCGCGUGUGUGAAGAAGGCCUUCGGGUUGUAAAGCACUUUUAGCGAGGAGGAAGGGUGGUGUGUUAAUAGCACAUCAUUUUGACGUUACUCGCAGAAGAAGCACCGGCUAACUCUGUGCCAGCCGCCGCGGUAACAC
rnacentral:rRNA from 1 species